GCACUAUCAAUUUUAAAUGUGGCCAUUGAAAACUGUGAUGGAUUUGUUUAAAAGUUCGUCUCCCGCCCAAUGAUAGAUGACAAUAAAAUAAUGCGUGUGAAUUUACAGAUCAAAAUGUUUUCGUUGUACGAAAAUUAAAUAAUGUUUCAUGAAAAAAUAUACCAAUUGCUAACAGAACCCGCGAGGUGGGCAAAACGUCAAUUUUUCCCAGAAGCAAAACGAUUCGCAUUAUCAUCAUCAUUAUCAUCAGCAUCAUUAUCGGCCAGUUAUGGAAUGUAAAAUCUACAUGUUGGCAAUAAAAUUACAAUAAAUGCCCAAA